UUUUAUUACUAUUUUUAAGAUUUACACAUGCAAGAAAUGUUAUGGAGAAUACUGGAUUUUAUUUUUAAACAUACUCUUGGGUUACAAAGUUUUAUGAACCAUGCCUAGAAGGAAAUAACCAGAACAUGCUCAAUUAGUGUUUGACGGUGACAAAACCCGUUUUUUUCCCCGACAGUAUUGACUAUAAGCUGCUCCUGAUUAAGUGGGAUAGUGAUAUAAUCGUCAACCGUCUUUAUCAAGUCAGCCAUGACCCUUUGAAAUGACCGAGACAUAGAAGGACAAUGCUACCAACAACUUCAUAUGCGCAGGUAUAGAACUGACCCUUUUUGUAGGUAAUACGUGGUCCUUCCACAGAGUCUGACAGAGGUCGACAAUAGCUGUCCUAUCCAGAAAUAAUCGAGUUUUUAGAACAUCAUUUGGUAAAGCUAAGAAAAUAACCCUAGUCCUGAAAACCCUCUCUCUGUAUU